CCUACGGGAGGCAGCAGUGGGGAAUAUUGCACAAUGGGGGAAACCCUGAUGCAGCGACGCCGCGUGAGUGAGGAAGUAUUUCGGUAUGUAAAGCUCUAUCAGCAGGGAAGAAAAUGACGGUACCUGACUAAGAAGCCCCGGCUAACUACGUGCCAGCAGCCGCGGUAAUACGUAGGGGGCAAGCGUUAUCCGGAUUUACUGGGUGUAAAGGGAGCGUAGACGGAUAAGCAAGUCUGAUGUGAAAAUCCGGGGCCCAACCCCGGAAUUGCAUUGGAAACUGCAUAUCUAGAGUGUCGGAGAGGCAAGUGGAAUUCCUGGUGUAGCGGUGAAAUGCGUAGAUAUCAGGAGGAACACCAGUGGCGAAGGCGGCUUGCUGGACGAUGACUGACGUUGAGGCUCGAAAGCGUGGGGAGCAAACAGGAUUAGAUACCCCUGUAG
rnacentral:rRNA from 1 species